GACGGGGGGGGGCAAGUGUUCUUCGGAAUCACUGGGCGUAAAGCGCACGUAGGCGGAUCGCUAAGUCAGGGGUGAAAUCCUGGAGCUCAACUCCAGAACUGCCUUUGAUACUGGCAAUCUCGAGUCCGGGAGAGGUGAGUGGAACUGCGAGUGUAGAGGUGAAAUUCGUAGAUAUUCGCAAGAACACCAGUGGCGAAGGCGGCCAACUGGUCCGAUACUGACGCUGAGGCGCGAAAGCGUGGGGAGCAAACAGG
rnacentral:rRNA from 1 species